UAGUCGGAGGUGUGUCUCGGACGGUCGGUUCGCCGCUUGUCGGUGCUCAACUGGCCGGUCCGGACGUCCUGCCGGUGGGGCCGCGAGGCUCCGUUAUCCUUCUUUGGUCCUCUUCAUCGAGUGCCUUGGUGGGCCGGCACGUUUACUUUGAACAAAUUAGAGUGCUCAAAGCAGGCCGUUGGUCGCCUGAAUACUGUGUGCAUGGAAUAAUGGAAUAGGACCUCGGUUCCAUUUUGUUGGUUUUCAGAACUCGAGGUAAUGAUUAAUAGGGACGGACGGGGGCAUUCGUAUUGCGACGUUAGAGGUGAAAUUCUUGGAUCGUCGCAAGACGAACCGAUGCGAAAGCAUUUGCCAAGAACGUUUUCGUUGAUCAAGAACGAAAGUUAGAGGUUCGAAGGCGAUCAGAUACCGCCCUAGUUCUAACCAUAAACGAUGCCAGCUAGCCAUCCGCCGAAGUUCCUUCUAUGACUCGGCGGGCAGCUUCCGGGAAACCAAAGCUCUUGGGUUCCGGGGGAAGUAU
rnacentral:rRNA from 1 species